AGUGAACGCUGGCGGUAGGCCUAACACAUGCAAGUCGAACGGCAGCACAGUAAGAGCUUGCUCUUACGGGUGGCGAGUGGCGGACGGGUGAGGAAUACAUCGGAAUCUACUUUUUCGUGGGGGAUAACGUAGGGAAACUUACGCUAAUACCGCAUACGACCUACGGGUGAAAGCAGGGGAUCUUCGGACCUUGCGCGAUUGAAUGAGCCGAUGUCGGAUUAGCUAGUUGGCGGGGUAAAGGCCCACCAAGGCGACGAUCCGUAGCUGGUCUGAGAGGAUGACCAGCCACACCGAAACUGAAACAGGGUCCAGACCCCAAGGGGAGGCAGCUGGGGGAAAUAUUGAAAAAGGGGCCCAAGCUUAGCCCAGCAAUGCCGCGUGGGUGAAGAAGGCCUUCGGUUUGUAAAGCCCUUUUUUUGGAAAAAAAAAGAAGCAGGUUAAAACCCCGCUUUUCUAGCGGAACCAAAAAAAAAAGCACCGGCUAACUUCGU
rnacentral:rRNA from 1 species